rnacentral:lncRNA from 1 species
AACCUCCUCACGCAACCUACCUGGCCGCGCCCGGCGGCCCUAGGCCUCCUCUAUAAAACCAUCGCCCCUGCGCACCGUCCUCCCCCACCUCCCGAUCAAGCCAUCCAGCCGCCUCUCCUCGCCCUCCUGCCUGCGCGCAUCUCUCUAGAGCUUAAACUCUCCUAGAGAGAUCUCAGGCAGCCCCAAUAACCAACCGCUCGACCCAACUCGUCGUCGUCGUCGUCGCAGAUGGCCGGCCUCAGGAUGAAGCUCGUCGCCGCCGCCGCCGUGGCCGCCGCGCUCGUGGCGUCCGCCGCCGCCCAGGCCCCCGCGCCAGCGCCCACCUCCGACGCCUCGGCCGCGGUGCCCCUCGCGGCGGCGUCCUUCGCCGCCGCCGCCUUCGGCUACCUCUUCUGCUAGAUCCGUCGUCCGGGGAUGCCGUCGUGCUCCCUGGCCGGUCGGGCCUGCUGAUGAUGAUAUGAUUCGUUUUGGCGUGAGUCGAGUCCCCUGUUCGUGGCGCGUGUUGAGGGAUGUCGGUGGGCGUGUGUAUGUACGAGUCGGCGGCGGGUGGAGGUGUGCGCGCGUGGUUGGAUACGUGCGUCGACGCACCACUCUUUGUGGUGGAGAUCAUGUACCCGCUGCGCUUCUGUUUAUCAAUGAGAUGAUUUAUUUGAUUCUUUUCAUCUUAUAUACAAUAUACAUGAGAAUUGCGUAUUCAGUUUGUUGUGUUUUGCUCUGCAAACUUGCGAUGUGCAGAUUGUUGUAAAACACUGUCGAACGAUUCUCCCUCAAUCGAGUUCUUCCGUUACAAAGAAAAAGAAAACGGUGCAUCUCUCUUAAAAAAACGAUUACUAUUCUUACGACCUGAAAAUUAAGGGGUGCAGGCUACAGUUCAAAGAUGUAAUUGGAAUCUGAAAUCGAUUUGACCGACUAAGGAACCCACCAUCUGAAUUCUAAGCAAAACGACCGGCAUAACGACUUUCAUUUAUGACCAACCAAUUCAGAAUUGACAAGCUUUAUUUUUCCUCCCUCCCUCGAAAAGAAUGCUGUGGCACGGAGUCCUCGUGAAGUUCGUUAGGAGAUGCCGGGCCGGGGUUGCUUAAUUAGUUUGGUGAGGGAUCCGAACGUUGAAAUGAUUGAAGCAUGUUGGCGUCGCCACUUGCCAGCCAAGAAGCCAUGUGCUGCUCGUUAAGCACUGGUCCACAGAUGAGUUGUCUUGGUAGGGGCAGCCGUACCCGCUGUAUCAGCGCUGGCAUGCUCCAAGCUGGAAAUGGUGAGCCGUCGCAAUCGCUGCAGUAUUACCCGACUAAUAUGUGCUUUAUGGAAUUGCAGGACUGCUUAAUUUUGACCGUGCUCGUGGAUUUAGAUGCUGGUCGAUGGCUCCAGCUCGAUGCCUUUUCCUACUGUACUGGCUACUGCCGACCGAGAGUCUCAGAGCGUGCAGAAUGCAGGUCGAGUUCCGCAAAGUUGUUGGCGUACACAGCUGGGGAUUGGGCCAGUGCCAGCUCUACACACCACUGGGCCACCUUUGUGUUUUCUCCGGCCUGCUUGAAAAUGUAUUGGGCCAGUUUGUUGGGCCGCUUACUUACAUCUGUGCUCAGCUAAAUCCAGCGAGAACAAUGGAAGAGUUUUUGGCUCUAUACAACAAAUCUUUUGGUUUUUUCCCCCCCUUUCUUUUUCAUCCACAUAAGACACCCACGAUGGCGUUUAUAUUUGUAAGAUAACUGAGUUGCAUUUUUAAGUGCCUCAUUUCUGGAUUAUCGGGCAGCUUCUGAAAGGAAGCUCCAAUUAUAGUAGACGAAGUAGAAGGUUUUUUUUUCGAUUCAAGACCUGGAACGUAGGUAGCUAGAGUCUACGCACUGCAGUUACAUACUGACAAAUUGCAAUGGCGAGUCGGCGACCGACAAGCAGAGGCCAGGCACAGCUGCGUCACAUGAACUCGCUCAUCAUGGCGAGCACCUGCGCCAUCGUGGGCCUCUCCUCCGGCGCCUCGGCGGUGCACAGCACGCCGAUCUUCACCAUCCCCAUCGUCUCCUCCCCUUCGCCGCCUUCCUCGCCGUCGGCGGCCUUGUGGUCCGUCACCACCUCCAGGAGCACCAUCCCGAAGCUGUACACGUCGGACUCCUGCGUCGCCCUCGCGCCCGCGCCCGACGCCAGCUCCGGCGCCGCGUACCCGUGCCACCCGACGCUCGCCGCUGGCGGGGCCGCCGACGACGUCGCGGUCGCCGCCCGGCCCAGGAACAGGUCCGGCGGGCACCGAGCGGCCUGCGGGACGACGGACUGCUGGAUGUUUGUGGCGUAGCGCAUGAGCCCGCACUCGGACACGCACGCGCCGCCGCGCUCGUCCAGGAGGAUGUUGGACGGCUUCACGUUCGCGUGCACAAGCGCCGGCCGCGCCGGGAACGUGUGGAUGUAGUUCAGGCCCUGCGCCGCGCCGAACAGUAUGCUCUUCCUCCCCGCCCAGUCCAGGCUCCUCGCGCCACCACCUGCAGCAACAACAACGGCCCGUCAGGAACACUCGCUUUCUUGCACCGACUGCAAAUUGGCAAUGCAUUUGGGAUUUCAUUAUCUCAUUUCAGCGCGACGACGCACCACUGGCUUGCAGAAGGGACUGGAGGCUCCCGUUGGGGAGGAAGUCGUAGACGAGGAGGCGCUCGCCGUUGGAGUUGCAGUACCCCCUGAGGCUGACGACGUGCCGGUGGCGGAGCCGGCCGACGAGCCGCAUGUGGCGGUCGAACGCCUUGCUCCGGCUGGCGGGGAACUGCAGCGCGCUCAGGCGCUUGACGGCCACCACGAUGCCGUCGUCGAGCACCGCCUUGUAGGUGCUCCCGGACACGCCCUUGCCGAGCACCUCGGCGGACGCCUUGAGGAGGCUCUCCAGCCGCAGCUCCUCGCCGCCCUCGAAGCAGACCAACCCGCCGCUCUUCUGGCACUUGUCGUCCCCGUUCGCCCUCUUCUCUUGCUCCUCGAAGCAGAGUGCCGCGUCGGAGGCGUCCUUCGCCGACCGGAGCUUCCUCCUCAUGUAGACGAACAUGGCCACGGAGAUGGCUAGCGAGACCGUGAUGAGCACUGCGUUGCCAAUGCCGGUGGCCAUGAGUGCAGUCAAGCUAAGCUUACUGAAACCUCCAUUGCUGGAACUGGAAGGCACACUACCACUAACGUUCACUGCAGCACCAGGAGAUUGAGCAGCGAUACUGGUGGUAGCAUUGGAAGAACUAUCCGAUCCUAACGCAUUAUAAGCACGAACACAUCUUGGCAGAGGCGUGCCACAGAGAGCGAGAUUGCCGCCGAAAGCCGACCUCGGGAACCUGGACAGAUCGCCGGAGAUCUCCCCAGCGAGCUUGUUCCCGGACACGUUCAAGCUCCUGAGCGACGGGGCGCGCAGCGCCUCCAGGCCUCCACGGAAGCCAUUGUGCUCCGCUCUAAGCGUGAGCAGAGCACCCAGCGAGAUGUUCAGGCUCCCGGUGAGCCGGUUGCGGGCGACGAGCAGGUGCCGCAGCCACGGGCUCGCCGUGGCGUCGUCCAGCGGGGGGAGGGCGCCGGACAGGGAGUUGUUCCUGACGGCGAGCGCCCUGAUAUGGCUGAGCCGCAGGAGCGGCGCCACCUCGCCGGCCAGCGAGGCGCCGUCGAGGAAGACCCCCACCACCCUGCCCCUGGAGCACCUGAUCCCGAACCACGUGCUGGAGCACGGGUUGGGGCCGUGCCAGGUCGCCAGGGCCGUGGCGUUCGGGUUGUAGGACUUGAAGGAGAGCAGCGCGGGCAGGUCCUGGUGGCCG